rnacentral:rRNA from 1 species
CUCGUAGGUGGUUUGUCGCGUUGUUCGUGAAAUCUCACAACUCAAUUGUGAGCGUGCGGGCGAUACGGGCAGACUGGAGUACUGCAGGGGAGACUGGAAUUCCUGGUGUAGCGGUGGAAUGCGCAGAUAUCAGGAGGAACACCGGUGGCGAAGGCGGGUCUCUGGGCAGUAACUGACGCUGAGGAGCGAAAGCGUGGGGAGCGAACA